GUGAGUCGGUUCUUUGCAUCAGGUGGCCAGAGUAUUGGAGGGAAAUGUCUCACUAGACUCCUGACCUUAACAAAGACAUGAAAACCUUUGUCUUCUGUUUCGGGAGAUAUCAGAGGAUACAUCCAAAGUGUGGCUCAAGUCUGACCAGUUCGCCGACUAUUCUCUGAAGAAAAAGUGGCUUCAGGGCUCUGCGUGUUUAUGCUGCCUUCGAGAUCCUGGCGUGAUGCUCUGUUAUCCCGUCAGUCUUGAGAUGCUUGUAGUGAGAGUCUUUACAAAUACAAGCAUCCGGCAUUUUUCAGUGUCUUUCAGCAGGAAUGGUGGGUCAAGUGAGUUAACCUUCCAUGUUACCAGAAAUAGCAAGCAUAUUAAACGAGUGCAGCAUGACAGAUUAAGAAGACAAGAAGAAAAUCGGAAUUAAGGAUUUAAGUUAUGUAACAGAAGGAAAAUUUCACGGGUGUGUAACAAAGUCCAUAUCCAUAAAACAGAAAUGACCUUUCAAACUGUCAGUUCCAUCUUGCUAUAUUCCACAUAUACGCAUUAAUAUCCAGUCCUUGUUUUAUCUUUCUGACUUACGUCAGUCUCUAUAAUACGGUUCAUUUGCAGAGGAAUGGAGAUGCAGACUUGUGGGCACAGUGGGAGGAGGAGAAUGUGAAAGUGAAACUCACUCAGUCGUGUCUGACUCUUUGUGACCCCAUGGACUAUACAGUCCUUGGAAUUCUCCAGACCAGAAAACUGGAGUGGGUAGCCUUUCCCUUCUCCAGGGGAAUCUUCGCAACCCAGGGAUCGAACCCAGUUCUCCCAGCAUUGCAAGUGGAUUCUUUACCAGCUGAGCCACUAGGGAAGCCUUAGAAUACUGGAGUAGAUAGCCUAUCCCUUUUCCAGGGGGUCUUCCUGACCCAGGAAUCGAACCGGGGUCUCUUACAUUGCAGGUGGAUUCUUUACCAAAUGAGCUACU
ensembl:lncRNA